rnacentral:rRNA from 1 species
AAGCUCGUAGUUGAAUUUCGGGAUCAAUUUAUCGGUCGUGCCUACGGUAUGAACUGGUACAAUUGGUUUCUCUCUUCUGACGAAGCAUGAUGCCAUUAAUUUGGUGUUGUGGGGAAACAGGACUGUUACUUUGAAAAAAUUAGAGUGUUUAAAGCAGGCACACGCUUGAAUACAUUAGCAUGGAAUAAUGAAAUAGGACGUUUGACCCUAUUUUGUUGGUUUCUAGGUACAACGUAAUGAUUAAUAGGGAUAGUUGGG